rnacentral:rRNA from 1 species
UUGACCUCAAAUCAGGUAGGACUACCCGCUGAACUUAAGCAUAUCAAUAAGCGGAGGAAAAGAAACUAACAAGGAUUCCCCUAGUAACUGCGAGUGAAGCGGGAAAAGCUCAAAUUUAAAAUCUGGUGGUCUUUGAUCAUCCGAGUUGUAAUCUAGAGAAGUGUUAUCCGCGCUGGACCGUGUACAAGUCUCCUGGAAUGGAGCGUCAUAGAGGGUGAGAAUCCCGUCUUUGACACGGACUGCCAGGGCUUUGUGAUGCGCUCUCAAAGAGUCGAGUUGUUUGGGAAUGCAGCUCAAAAUGGGUGGUAAAUUCCAUCUAAAGCUAAAUAUUGGCGAGAGACCGAUAGCGAACAAGUACCGUGAGGGAAAGAUGAAAAGAACUUUGGAAAGAGAGUUAAACAGUACGUGAAAUUGCUGAAAGGGAAACGCUUGAAGUCAGUCGCGUUGGCCGGGGAUCAACCUUGCUUUUGCUGGGCGUACUUUCCGGUUGACGGGUCAGCAUCAAUUUUGACCGUUGGAUAAAGUUCAGGGGAAUGUGGCAUCUUCGGAUGUGUUAUAGCCUUUGUUCGCAUACAACGGUUGGGAUUGAGGAACUCAGCACG